GCCAUUGACAAUAGCACAGUGAAUACACUAGUUCCCAACGGAUCACUGAAGUUAAGCAACGUUGUGCGUGGUUGGUAUCC
rnacentral:rRNA from 1 species